UUAAAACCCUAAGGACUUGGCGGUGUCCCAAACCCACCUAGAGGAGCCUGUUCUAUAAUCGAUAACCCACGCUACACCCAACCCCCCCUCGCCCCAAGCAGCCUACAUACCGCCGUCGCCAGCUCACCUCACCUGAGAGAUUAACAGUGAGCACAAUAGCUCCACCCGCUAAAAAGACAGGUCAAGGUAUAGCCCAUGGGAGGGAAAGAAAUGGGCUACAUUUUCUGAACCAGAAAACAACGAAAGAAGGCCUGAAACAGCCCUCAGAAGGCGGAUUUAGCAGUAAAACAUGAUCAUUACACCUGUCUUAAGUCGGCCCUGGGACACGUACAUACCGCCCGU
rnacentral:rRNA from 1 species